rnacentral:rRNA from 1 species
ACGCUCGACACCUACGGGAGGCAGCAGUGGGGAAUAUUGCACAAUGGGGGAAACCCUGAUGCAGCGACGCCGCGUGGAGGAAGAAGGUCUUCGGAUUGUAAACUCCUGUUGUUGGGGAAAAAGAGGAUGGUACCCAACAAGGAAGUGACGGCUAACUACGUGCCAGCAGCCCCGGUAAUCUGAGCGGGCUGGCAAGGC